AACGAACGCUGGCGGCAUGCCUAACACAUGCAAGUCGAACGAAGCCUUCGGGCUUAGUGGCGCACGGGUGCGUAACGCGUGGGAAUCUGCCCUUGGGUUCGGAAUAACAGUUAGAAAUGACUGCUAAUACCGAAUGAUGUCUUCGGACCAAAGAUUUAUCGCCCAAGGAUGAGCCCGCGUCGGAUUAGCUAGUUGGUGAGGUAAAGGCUCACCAAGGCGACGAUCCGUAGCUGGUCUGAGAGGAUGAUCAGCCACACUGGGACUGAGACACGGCCCAGACUCCUACGGGAGGCAGCAGUGGGGAAUAUUGGACAAUGGGGGCAACCCUGAUCCAGCAAUGCCGCGUGAGUGAAGAAGGCCUUAGGGUUGUAAAGCUCUUUCAGAUGGGAAGAUAAUGACGGUACCAUCAGAAGAAGCCCCCGGGCUAAACUCCGUGCCAGCAGCCGCGGUAAU
rnacentral:rRNA from 1 species